GGGUUCGGAUGGGGAGAACAUGUAUACAAUUUCUCACAGUUAGCUCAACACUGGAAAGAUGCUAAUUCCGAUAUUAUUAUUUAGGGCAUCUAGAGUUAUGAAAGCUAUUUGCGCUGUAAGAGAGGUUGCGUCCCAUAGCUAGUUGGAGAGGUAACGGCUCACCAAGGCGAUGAUGGGUAGCCGGCCUAGAGGGUGAUCGGCCACAAGGGGACUGAGACACGGCCCUUACUCCUACGGGAGGCAGCAGUGGGGAAUAUUGGACAAUGGACCAAGAGUCUGAUCCAGCAAUUCUGUGUGCACGAUGAAGUUUUUCGGAAUGUAAAGUGCUUUCAGUUGGGAAGAAGAAAAUGACGGUACCAACAGAAGAAGUGACGGCUAAAUACGUGCCAGCAGCCGCGGUAAUACGUAUGUCACAAGCGUUAUCCGGAUUUAUUGGGCGUAAAGCGCGUCUAGGUGGUUACAUAAGUCUGAUGUGAAAAUGCAGGGCUCAACUCUGUAUUGCGUUGGAAACUGUGUAACUAGAGUACUGGAGAGGUAAGCGGAACUACAAGUGUAGAGGUGAAAUUCAUAGAUAUUUGUAGGAAUGCCGAUGGGGAAGCCAGCUUACUGGACAGAUACUGACGCUGAAGCGCGAAAGCGUGGGUAGCAAACAGG
rnacentral:rRNA from 1 species